rfam:Trichobilharzia regenti genome assembly, scaffold: TRE_scaffold0032890
GUCAUGUAGCGGUUAUCAUGUCUGCCUUCCAAGCAGUCGAUCCGGGUUCGACUCCCGGC